rnacentral:miRNA from 2 species
UGGCGCGGAGAGGGCCCACAGUG